rnacentral:rRNA from 1 species
GACGUAGGGUCCAAGCGUUGUCCGGAUUUACUGGGCGUAAAGAGCGCGUAGGCGGCUCGGUAAGUGUGACGUGAAAUCUCCAGGGCUCAACCCGGAAACUGCUUUACAUACUGUCGAGCUGGAGUGAUGAAGAGGUUUGUGGAAUUCCUGGUGUAGCGGUGAAAUGCGUUGAUAUCAGGAGGAACACCCAUGGCGAAGGCAGCAAACUGGUCAUCAACUGACGCUGAGGCGCGAAAGCGUGGGUAGCAAACAGG